UGGAAAGCGUUGAAGAGAAGUAGUAAGAUUGUAUUAUAGAUAGAGAGCCUCUGGUUGGUGAAAAGUGGUUAUAAGAAAAUCUGAACUCGUCUUGGAGCUGUUGGCAUGAAUUAAGUAGUGUCAAACGGAUGACCUCGAUAUCGGUUAAUAAGUGGAUGCUUCGAUAGAAGUAUCAAUUAGAGUGGUAACGCGAGCCCUUCGUCUCUAAA
rnacentral:ncRNA from 1 species